UUGUCUCACUUGAUGUUUAUUGUGUAGUAGGUCUUUACCUGCUGUUUUUGUCGAUGAGGCCCCCACGUGGAGGGAGCUGAGAGAUCAUCUCAUGCUCAAGCCAGGCGGCCAACCAUGCAGUGAGAGAGGCAUGCAGUCUGCAUCUGUACUGCAGAGCUGGGCACUAAGAUUGAUGGAUGGUCAUGUGAUAGUGCCUGUGUAACCUAAACUCAUUUUGGGGUAUCAUAAUUUUUGGGGUCUCAUAACUUUUCUAGCUUAGUAGCUAGCACACAUAAGUAUGUUUACACAUUACAGCUCAGCAACCCCCCCCCCCCACACACACACACACACAGAUGAAAGGAUUGUCUAAGACCGUAUGUGGGGACGACUGUAUCAGCAGACAAAGAAGGCUACAACCAGAAUCAGCCAUGAUUAAAUAUUUUGAGUGCUCAGAGGCUACCCGGCUAUGACCAGCUCGGCAAUGUAUAUGUAACGGAAAGGUAUUCUUGACACUGUUUGUUUCUGCAUACACUCUGUCAGCUGCUGGGGAGAAUUAUCCUCAGAGGGAGAAUAUAGUCCAAUGUGGACUUCUACAUCUCCCAGAGCCGGGCAGCCAACCAUGCAGGGAGAGAGGCAGCCUGCAUCUGUACUGCAGAGCUGGGCACUAAGGUGAAGGAUUGUCUGAAACCUUACGUGGGGACAGUUUCCUUCUCCUGCUUGGAGAGCUGAGUGGUGUGAGUGGGUGUGGUGACCGAGUGUCCUCCCUCCUCCUCCUCUGUGCUGAGACACUACAACACAAUCACUACCCUCAACACCUCAACCUCCUGGAGACACUGCUCAAACUGAGCAGUGACAAUGCCCUGGUGGUGCAAUAUGCUGGAGUGGACUGUCUCACUUCACUCUGUCAGCUGCUGGGAGAAUGAUCCUCAGAGGGAGAAUAGAACAGCACAAUCCAAUAUACACAAUCCAACAAAGCCGGGUCAGGAUCCCAGAGACCAGAGUUGUUACAAGUGGCAGUCACUGCACCCAUCAGUGAGAACUCAGGAUCACAUUGGAAGGUAAUGACUGAGCUCUCGGUUAGGUUGGUGUUCUGAGAGUUGGUGUUGAGUAAUGCUCCAUUGAGUGGAGGGGCAGGCAGGACACAGGAAACUGAGUACACGAGAUGGAGGAUGCACAUGAUUAUUAAUGAAGUCACUUACUAGACUCAUUUCUGCAGACAAUCUCCCCUGGAUUUUUGUCCCACUCUCUUGUAGCUAGACAGGUGGCAUUCAUCAUUCCCUCAGGGAACAGUCCAGCGUCACACUGAAAGGACACACGAGUACCAGGAAUAGCUGGUACUGAAUGAUCACUGAUGGUGCCAUUCUGUGGUGAGGAUAGUCGAACUGCGCAGUUCAUUGGAGCUAUGAGGUGAACAUAAUAAGUUUUUGUACAACCAAGAACUCAACUCACGAGUUGUGGGAGGGAGUGUGGGUAGUGAUGUACACUCAAUAGCCUCAGGGUCUGGACUCCACAUUAGUGUACCCUCACAUAUCACCAUUGUAACAGCAGAAACAUAUCCAGCGUCACACUGGAUGGUUACUGUGGAUCCUGGUAAACUGCUUGAGACUGGUACAAAGGCUCCAUUCAUGGGGUUGGUCAACACAGGACAGUUGCCUGCACUACAGGGAGUCAGCAUAAUAAUAUAGUGUGCUACGAUGUCGACUCACCAAUUGUAAAGUUGUACUCAGCUGUCGUACUGUUCUCAGCACAGUUGGUAGCCACAACACUGACAGCAUAGUCCACAUUGUAUUGAGCAGUCACAGUGACAGAGGUGGAUGUGAGGACAGUAGCAGAGAGCUGGGCUGGAGGUGAGAUGGUUACUGUGUAGGUUAGGUUAUCUCUACCACCAGUCUCAGUAGGAGGGUUCCACUGCACAGAUACACGGACUUCAUCGGCUGAGCUGCUCAGAGUGGAGUGUCUUAUGGUGGAAGGUGGUCCUGGUAGAUCUAUAAUAAUUAUGUAACUUUUUGUGAGAUAACGGACGAGACACUAACUGCAACUCACCAACCAAUUGGAUCAUUGAAGAUCCUAUAGUUGUAGGCAAGUCCAGACACGACACAGUGAUCCCAUUCUCUGCUGUUCUUGACAGAGUUGAUGUUAAUGUAGUGUCAUUGAAUGCAAUCAGUGUCACAGUGUAACCUGACUGCAUUAGUGGUACAUUGAGACCCGAUGGGGUGGAGAGGAUAUCGAUGUCAGUAACAUCUGACAGUACCCAUCUCAAGGAAUUUCCAGGAGCAGUGCAGGUGUAAGUGACUGUUUCCAUUGGACAUGGUCUCUCCACACUCACUGAAUAUUGGGCUGUAAAGAAAUAGAUCUAAAAGCUGUGUUUGCUAGACGACUCCGGCUCAUAUUGACUAUCUAGCCUGUUCUACAUGUUUUACCUGUGAUCGUACACCGAGAAGUUAAAUAGAACAUGACCGUAAGGUCAAUAUAGAAGUUGAGAGAUCGUAGAAGAGUCAUUUCUGAGAGUUAUUAUAAUUUAUACUGUCCAAAGAUGUAAUUUACCAAUUCGGUGGGUGUGGUUCUGACGUCCUGACGUCACGUUUUGAUAACGAGGUUACGGCCGGUCAACCGUUUGCUCAUUAAUUAUUCAUGAGCUAGAUCUAGUGAUCAUUCUUUUCCAGCUAGAAUGAGCUGGAAGUAUAGUAGCCUCGAUCCCAGGCCGAUCCGUCUCUAAUUGAGCGCUAGGUCGCCUCCUCGGCCUGGUAUUGAUUGUAUCUGGGCGUGUAUCUGGGCGUGCUCUUAUUGGCUCCACCUCGCUCAGGUAUUCGCUAAAAAAGAGCGAAUUCCUGAGCAACUUAACACUAAUGGUGUAUGUAUGAGCACCUACUCCGUAAAAGUAAUUGUAAUCUCAUGAAUAGCUCCGUAAAGCUAGCUAGCUACUACUAUGGCAAUUUCAACGUCUUUUGAUAUCCAAGAAGCAUUAGCAUAUGCACUGUCUUGUGUGAAGCAAGAAGGACUGAUCCUCAAGGAACAGCAGGUCCGUGCUCUCAAGCUCCUGUCAGAAGGAAGGGACGUUUUUGUGUGGUUCCCAACUGGGUAUGGCAAGUCUCUGUGCUAUCAAUUGCUACCCUUCUUGAUGGACUACAAGCUUGGUAGGACUAAGGGUCCUCUUGUCGCCAGAAGUGUAGUUCUUGUCAUCUCUCCCCUUGUGUCUCUCAUGAUUGACCAGGAGUCUGAACACUAGAGGUGUUUCUGCUGCCAUCCUCAGUAGUAAUAAGGGAAUCGACAGAAGUCUUGUUGCCACUAACAAAGAUGUGUCGGAUGGAAAGUACCGUCUGCUGUGUUCACUGCCCCAGAGGCUGUUGUUGAAGACUAUCGUUGGAGGAUGCUAUUACUAGAGCCUCCACUCAAUUCCUCUUUAGUGGCAAUAGCUGUGGACGAAGCACACUGUGUUUACAAGUGGUAAGUUAUUAAUAACUCCCGUUGUGAUUAUUAUGUAUGUUCUGUAGGAGCUCUGACUUUUGUCCUGCCUAUGCACACCUAGGUGAGCUUAGAGCAUUUGCUCCUCCUGGUGCUCCAAUGUUGGCUGCAAACUGGAUAGUUUCUGACCUACCCUCUAGCUCCACAGCGAUUGCAGAUGAUGUCGAGGCACUGGCAUUAUGUGGACCAUCAAUGAGUAAAAGCAAGCCUUUUUCCUCGAACCCCGAUGGUACUCCUCUUUGCUGAUGGACGCGAGCUCACAGUGAAAGGAGAUGCAUCGGAACCACUCGUGUCCUUAGUCCUUUUCUUAGGGGCUGAUCUUACUGGACUACUAGGGAGCUGCUCUUUGGACACUUGUUUCUGGUAGCUACGUCUGGCCAGGAGCCUGAACACCUCUAUGGACUCUAUCUUCUUGAUACAAGAAAGACAGACAAUCUUUGACAGGCCAUCUGAAUCACUAACAGGCAGAUCCAAUGCAAGACUGAGCCUCCCUGGAAUAUCUUCUUUGAGAGCCUUACUGCUGAACAAAUGUUUAUAUCUUCUGUUUUGUAUGGCAUCAGUGCUGCAACAUAACCUACAAAGAACAAACUUAGAAGCCAUCAUUAAUUUUAUUCAAUUUUCAUUUGACCACA